rnacentral:rRNA from 1 species
UACGUAGGUGGCAAGCGUUAUCCGGAAUCACUGGGUUUAAAGGGUGCGUAGGUGGGUGUUUAAGUGAGUGGUGAAAGCUCCCGGCUUAACCGGGAAAUUGCCAUUCAUACUGGAUACCUUGAGUACAGUUGAGGUGGGCGGAAUGUGUCAUGUAGCGGUGAAAUGCUUAGAUAUGACACAGAACACCGAUUGCGAAGGCAGCUCGCUAAACUGUAACUGACACUGAGGCACGAAAGCUAGGGGAGCGAACAGG